ACCGUCAUAAGUUACAAAAAUACCGCGAUACACAUAUUUGGCCAUACCGUCGAGGCUUAGUAUACAUUGUUUCACUGGGUAGAGACGUACAGUAUGCUCUCCUAUGCAGCAGGGUGAAGCAGAAGAAUACCGCUUGGUAUGUGCUUUAUACAAUGGCAGUCUAGAGGAUACCCUUUACAGCCGGCCAGGCACACCUCAGGCCAAAUUAUUCAUGCAAAUGGUACUCUACUCACGGUACAUGUAACCCAACCACAAGUGUAGGUUAGCUGAAAGAGUUAACCUAAUUUGUGGGAGGAGUCUGGUCUUUAGAUACUCACCUGAUAAUUUCUUUUGAAGUGCACAGUACAAUUAUGGACCGUGUUGCGCCACUUUGUAUUUUUUUUUCAAAGGGGAGGACUAUAAAAAACUAAAAAGGCACAAUCUAAAAAGAAGCAUGUAGUGGAAGAUUCCACAUCAUCCUCCUCUGAGGAAAAAUCCAAAAGUGCCAACCAUUCAAGUAGCCCAAGUUCUGAAGAGGAUAUCAUUUCACAUGAGGAAUCCGAGGAGGAAAGUGUCCCUCAAGUGGCGGCCCCUCGGGACUCCCAGGAUAGGCCUUCCAAAGAGCCUGAACCACGUCCCGCCCCUCAGCCAAUCAAAGGAAGCGGCCUCAUGAUUCGUGGCAGAGGACGUGGUCGUGGUGGUGCUUGGACAUUCCAGUGUGAAGAGGGAAAACUUACGAGUAGACUCUGCUGCCGCCCUCCCCCCACUCCUCCAAACCGCCCCCCUAUCAACUCCCCUUACUUGACCAUGUCCCCUGCCCAAAGUAGCAUCCACUCCCGUUCCCCUUCCCGUCACCACUCCCGUUCCCCUUCCCAUCACCACUCCUGUUCCCACUUCCGUCACCAGUCCCGUUCCCGCUCCCGUUACCACUCCCGUUUCCCUUCCCUUUCCACUCCCCAUUCAUACGGCCAUCACCUUUCCUCUCCCUGUUAUCCCCAGUCCAUUUCCCACACCCUGCCCCACUCCCUGGGACAUUCCCAGCAUUUGGGCCAGUUAUCCACCCCUUCUAGUAGCAUGGUUUCUAGUAGCAUUGUGCAAAUGCUGUCCCAGGGAGAACCUUCUUCCCAUUCCACCCCUUCCUUCACACCUCCCAAUUUCCCUCUGCUCCCUAUUAUUCCCACACUUUUCCCAGUCCCAUUUCUACUCCAUGGAAACCCCUAUUCCCAGAUUCUACUCACAAAGUAGAAUCGACUCCUUGCAGCUCCGGAGGACCCCAGCUCCCAAGACCCUACCCAUGUCCCCCUUACCCAGCUGUCCUUAACGGACUUAUAGGGCUUAAAGCCCCCAAAAAAUACAAAACAACUGUACAUAGUUAAUUUAUGUUUACAAAAAAAAUAAUAAUCUGAAUUAAAAUAUUUUUUUCU